rnacentral:lncRNA from 1 species
GCACUUUGCGUUAAGGAUCAAGGACUGGCUCCUUCAAAUGUCCAAGACACUUUGUGUUGAGGACCAAUUAUCUAUUCCUUCCAUCGUCCAAUGCACUUUGUGUUAAGGACCAAGGAUUGAUUCCUUCCAUCGUCCAAGGUAUUUUUUAUAGAGGCUGCUUACAUAUUUGGGAAAUUUGGGAUUUUAGACAAUAAACCAAUUUGAGAGGUUUACUGCCCCCUUUUUUUU